rnacentral:rRNA from 1 species
GUCAAGUGGUAGGAAGGCCGAAACGGUGACCGACCCUUCCGGGAGGCUUGCACAGGUGCUGCAUGGCUGUCGUCAGCUCGUGUCGUGAGAUGUUCGGUUAAGUCCGCUAACGAGCGCAACCCUCGCUGUGUGUUAUAUGUGUCACACGGGACUGCCGGUCUUAAGCCGGAGGAAGGUGGGGAUGAUGUCAAGUCAGCAUGGCCUUUAUAUCCUGGGCUACACACACGCUACAAUGGCCAACACAAUAGGUUGCUAAGCCGCGAGGUGGCGCCAAUCCAUAAAGUUGGUCUCAGUUCAGAUUGUAGGCUGCAACCCGCCUGCAUGAAGAUGGAGUUGCUAGUAACCGCAGGUCAGCUAUACUGCGGUGAAUACGUUCCCGGGUCUU